UUUCAAUCGCAAAGGUGGGAGGUUGGCAUCAUGUCGUUGGACAUCAUUUUUGAAAAUUGUCUGACAUGUGGAUCCUCUGUGGAAAUUUCACUGUUAGAAUCUCACUCUGCGACAUGUGUUAAAAAGAUAGAACGUACUGCUUUAAGUAAUGCUGGGAGACCAAAGAUUGAUGUCAACAUACAAUUACUGGAAUAAUACCUAGACCAGAGAAUCCCCGUUACAAAAAUAGCUGAACUGCUUAACAUCAGCAAAAGGACCUUGUUCAGAGUUCUUAACGAGACAAACCAUACAGCGCUAGACCUAAGUACACAAAGAUCUCUGAUGCACAACUCGAUGCAUGUCUCACAAGUAUGUUGCGAUCCAACCCAAAGUUUGGUCUGCAGAUGUUUAAAGGUUGCACCAUUUCUAAAAAUAUUCUUCUUAAGCAAAAACAACUGGGUGAAAGUUGUAGAAGAGUCAGGCAACAGGAAAAUGCACCCAUGAUCCAACGCAUCAAGCGUAGAGAAUAUAAAGUGAGAGCUCCACUGUCCUUGUGGCACAUUGAUGGCCACCACAAAAUGGACCGGUAUUCUAUAUAUGCUUACAUUUGGAUAAUGGGUAACGGUUUCCUAUAAAUUCAAGUUUGGAUUUAUUAUUCAUGGAGCCAUAGAUGGUUAUACGCGUUUGAUCGCCUAUAUAUCAUUGGAAAAUACAAAUUUUUCUGAAACCGUGGUCAGUUUAUUUCAAACAGCAGUCACCGAGUGGGGAUAUCCAAGCCAGUGUAAAGUCCGACGAGGGCCGUGAAAAUGUAUUAGUGGCAGAUUUCAUGAUAAAUGCCAGAGGGGUUUACCGAAAGAGUUUUCGAACGGGAUUUUCAGUCCACAAUCAACGCGUGGAACGCCUCUGGAGGGAUACCAUCGAGAGAUGUACUUCUACUUUUAUGGAGAUGUUUAAGCAGAUGGAGAGAGAUGAUAUUCUGGAUGUAGGGUCGAAUGUAGACUUUUUCUGCCUCCACGUAGUUGGCUAAGAUUUAAUUCAACGUUCGCUACAAACUUUUCGGGAAGCAUGGAACUGUCAUCCUAUUCGAACCGAAAAGGACAUGUCUCCUAUGGAACGUAUUUUAACUAUAUUAAACCUAUUUAACGUAUAUUAAAGGAUUGCAGAUGUAGAUGGAAGAAAACGAAAAUGGAACUUUCGACGAGAAACCAACGGAACUCAUUCAGAGGCAAGUCGCGUGGACGUUGUCUUGAUCCUUCCAUCAAGACCUUGGCUCGACAAACCAAGUGGCUCUCCAGCAAGCCGGGAUUCGGGACCCACCCUAUCGUCCGUCUUGUUUCUACAAGCAUGACACACACACAUGAUAACGGUAACGUCUUAUUCAAAUCCAUUUUCUUUUUUCCUGUUACGCCACCAUCGUCUAGAAUGUUAGUUUAUGUGCUACAUUUAAGUCGAGCUCCUAUGCCAACACAACUUGAAUUCGAUUAUGCAUCGGCAAUUGAAAUUGGCUUUUGUCUUCGAGUGACGGACGUCCUUAUUGUCAAAUCCUUGGCCCGUGUCGCAAGGGUGGAAGGUUGGAAUCAUGUCGUUGGACAUAAUUUUUGAAAAUUGUCUGACAUGUGGAUCCUCUAUGGAAAUUUCACUGUUAGAAUCUCACUCUGCGACAUGGUAAAAACUGCUUUUAGUUUGUUGGGAUCGUGAAUUAAAAUAAAACGUUCAAAAACGUACGGUUUGUUCCGCGUACCUUUCAAAGCGUACUCUGGCGGAGACAGACAAAUAAUUUUCGGAACCAAACACAAGUGGCGCUAGUGGCCCUGGGAGAGUUUUAAAAUUCAUAUCUAAUAGCUCCAUGACAGAGCUUCUGUGAUUCGCCGCCAGGUGGCAGCAUAGAUUUGACGGGUAGUUUUCAAAAUAGCGGGGCGAUGUAGCGUUCUCGAUAGCGCCAUAGCUUAGCGGGGGUGACGAAUAGCAUCUGAGGUUGAGGUGGGGGGUGACGACUAGCAUCCGAGGUUGAAGUGGGGGUGACGAUGAAUAGCAUCCGAGGUUGAGGUUUUGCUUGUAUGGUGCAGGGGAGACUUUUGGCACGAAAAACUUGCCAUACAGGAGGGGCUGACUACCUAAAACUGUGUUGACCACGUGUGAUUAAGUACCCGCGAUUCCACUGGGUUUGUCAUCGGCUCGUAAUUUUUGGCUCGUCAGUUGAGCAAGCGAUUCAGGAUUUCAGGUAUCAUUGUCACCCAACCUUCUCGGACGCGGACAAUGUAUAGAAUUUAAAAACUUAGUUUCACCACACAAAACCUGCAUAUUAUCCACGGAAAAAAUUUUCAGAGUAGUUUCACGCGAUUACCUCGGGUCAGCAGUUAACGAUAGUCUUCUCUGGCAACUCUUCCUACACUGCACUUCCUGGACCUAAAUGUCAACCUAAAACAGAAAUAGAGUUGGCUAACGUCCGAAGUUGCCAGUUCGAUUAAUUGUGAAAAAAAAAUUGGACAAAAACUAGUAACAGUUUUUGCAUGGCGGCUUACGGAG